rnacentral:rRNA from 1 species
UAUAAAAAUAGUAUUUUAAUAAUAAAAAUAAUAAGAAAUUUUAAGCAUAAAAAUAAAGUACAAUAAUGGAAAAUAAUUUUAACAUUAAAAAGUAAAAAUAU